CUCUCCAGGCUUGUAACAAGAAGGUCAGGUAGCUCAUCCUUGGGCAUGAGGCCAGUGGGAAUUGAUCUGAUCUGAUUAGUGGUGGUGUCCUUCACCUCUGUCCUGUGUCUGCUGUGUGGCUCCAGCAGAGAGGCUGACUGCUCUUACCAGCCCUAUUCAUCCUUUUGUGAGUUCUUUUUCGUAGUCAAAAUGAUGAAGAACAGACAGAUGCUCUUCUACCUCCCAGUGCUGUAUGCAGUCUUUAUGCUCCAGUUGUGCACUGCUUUCAGGUGAUGCCCUCUGUGCUAAUAUUGUAAGGAUAGCAAAUAUUUCAGUAUUCUUCAUUAGCAAUCAAAGCUGGGAGUUUAGUAUCCACUGUCAAAUGGGACAAAGACAAGCUGGGUCUGCCUGCCGUAGCGACUGAUAACUACAUCAGCUUCCAAGUCACUGCUCUUGACUGCAGUGCUUUGUGAAAGAGAUCCUGUUCACAGUCAUAUGAAAAUAGGAAGAAAAUACAAAGAAACACUACACAGCACUUUUUGCUUUGGUCUCUGGAGCAUGUUCUGCUGUGAAUUUCAGUCAACAGAGUUUUGUUAAAAUAAGAACUGUUUCCCCUCUUCUAAUUAUUGGCAGAAAAAUCACCACAGUUAUCAGUCUGAUUUUACCCAUCCUUUAUUAAUGCAGAUAUUCUAUUGCAAGCAUUAACCUCUGUUGUUUUUUUUUUUUUCCUAGAUGUAGAUAUCCCACCCUCAGUAGCUUAACAUCACAAAAGCACAGUCUUAAAUUUCCUUCACCUUAACUAGUGUUUAAUUAUUUUUUUUUUCUAGAUUGCACUGUUUUCUUGGAGACACUUCUCUAUGUCUGUGUCUCUUCCGUAGUCUAUUCAUGUAUUGUGGAAUUUCUUGUGUUUUUCUAGAUGUGCAUAUCUUUGAGAUUCUCCCUCACUGCUGUUUUGUGUCUUACUUGCCUUUACUCUGUCUGUUUGUGAUUUCAGUGGGCUUCUCUAUGUCAAAAAAAGUCUACUUUUAGAAGCAGAACAUUUUUAGACGCCUUGAAGGUACCCCUCCUGCCUCAGGGAGGUGUAGUGACCACCACCACACACCUGCAUGCCUCUAACUCUGUUAGCAUCGGUGUUCCCUUAGUAGCAUUUUGAAGCUCUUCAACUCAUGUAACGUGGAUUGUGACAUUUGGCUUGGUCAGUUCUAUUGGGUCAUUGAUCAACCAGAGAGCCCUCCAUUUAUGAAGUAGAUCCAGGAUAAAAGUCCGUCUAGAUCCUCUCUUUCUCUUCUUCAAGUCUCUACUUACUGCUUUUUCUCUUAUGUGCUGUAAUUCUUUCACGUGGAAAAGAACAUUCAACAGUGAAUUGUUGCUAAAUUGUGGGAAAGCCUCGUGCUGCUUUGUAAGUCUCCUGAAGGAUUAAAUAGGCCAGUGAAAGCUGGAGUAGAGGCUGAAAGCACAUAUUCUGGAUCUCCGUCAAAAUGGCUCUCUUUCCCUUUUCCUUUUUUUUUAUUUUUUUGCAAGUUAACCAAAUUUGUCUUUGCAUUCUUGAAUCAGUCCGUUGAUUCAAGCAAUAGUGGCUAACUUAACAAAGAUGCACCAAAGAACCUAGCGCGAUACCUGAGGUCCUGCACUGUGUGUCACCCGUUUCAUCAGUGCUUUUCUUCCUUUUGUUUUUGGGGAUGUUAUUUGUACGUGUGUAUGACAGUUUUUGUUCUGUAUUUUGCAAACAUUUAUAUUUUUGUGAUUUUUAUACCCAUAAAUAUGUGUACUUGCCAACUUGCAGCAAUUGGAGCAGAAGAUUUUUUAGCUUUGCUCCUUAACAAAUGCUGAAUCUCAUUUUGAAGCUUUCUAGUGGAAGCUGAAUCCACCAUGGUCCGAGACUGUUCAAUAGCCUGGCUCUCACAGGACACAUAUUAAUAUUUCAGUUACAUUUUCUCUGCCAUGUAUUAUUGGUACUGUUUCCUCCACAAAUGGGGGAAAAAAACAAAACAAAAAAAAAAAAACAAAAAAAAAAAAAAAAAAAACAAUCCCUAACUUCUUUAUCUUACCCUGUAUAUAUUUGUAAAGUCCAUUUUAUGUCUCCUUUUAGCCAUCUCUUUCUCACACUGGGUCUUGGCAUGUGGUAGCUAAACUUCAGUCAGAAACUGCUAAACUUCCAGCCUGAAAUAAUAUUCUGAAUGCUUUCACUGGGGUUCAUCUCAGGCAAAUAAAUCAUGAUUCCACAUGCCGGAUUGCACAGGACACUUAUGAAUAAAAGCAGCUUUUAAGCUAGUGCAGCUUACUGUACAAUGCAGCUAGUUCUAUUCAUGAGGUCCUACAAAGCAAAACUUGAAAUAUGUCAGCAUGUACUCGAAUCUUUUGGGGGUGAAUGGUAGACCAUUGUAAUUUAAAUGAGAUAUUGCUGACCUGCUGUUUAGUGCUGCAGAAAAGUGGCCUCACGUGGGACUGUGAUGGGACAUCACGGGGUAACGGAGUUGCACGGACAGCAGGUGCCAACAAGCGCUGAUGCCGAUCACAUCUACCAUGGGUUUCUUACAAUGCUUGUGUGCUGUAUUUUUGUUCACUGUUUAUGCUUGAGGAAGAGAACUACUGAUACUAAAGAGUCUGAUCUAGCUGGGAAAUGAAGGGAACAAAGGAGGAGAAGAUUAGAAGGGAAAUGCUUUCCCUUUGACUGAUUUUUAUGUAUGGGGCUCUCUGCACAGAGCAAACCCAAUCUACCCUUUAUCAUACAUCAGCUUUAAAAGUUGGCAAGUACACCUGGAAUGUUUACAGGAAUGCUGAGACUCUUUCAGUUUCACUGAAAUGUAAAUCAGCCGGAUGCAGGUGGGAGAUCCCUAACAGUUAGUGGUUAUAUAUAUUCAAUGCUUAAAUAAGAGCCGAAGUGUGGGAAGUAUUCUCUUACCAACCCGACUAACUUCCUUUGUUUAUAAUGUGUUUCUUCAGUGAUGAAAACAUACAUGAGUGUCUUUGGAUGUGUUGUGUGGUAGGAAAUGAUCAAAUGUAAUCACACAGGAGAAAAAAAGAGAACUCUUUGAAGAUCCUGUGCCACACACAUAGUUGUCACACGUAACUGCUGCUCAUGGUAGUGCUUGAUGCAAGUGCAGUGUCAAUCUCGUUUAUGCUGAAAGCCAAAAUACGAUACUUUUAUGUCCACUGUUCAUUUCCUGACAGCUUCUAAAGAAUGUAAAGCUCCAUUUGAACAUCCAAUUUGUUAUUAUCUGUAUUAAGUCACGACCAUUCUUUACCCUAAAAGGUCUCUAUCAUUUAAAUUCUGUAACCACCCGAUGUUGCAUGAAAAUUAAAAUUGAAAUGAUUUUAAAAUAUCUUUUUUUAAA